rnacentral:lncRNA from 1 species
CUGGCACGUUACUCGUGUGACAAAGAGCCAAAUAAUCACUUCGAUUUUUUACUUCACUCAGUUGUUACAUUUAUUUUUCGAUUUAUUCGCUAUAGACCGGUACCGUAAUAUGAAAUGAGAUAUUAUUGUAGAGAAUGAAAAUAGAAGAGGAGUAUUGUAAUAUAAUAGAAAAAGUAGAAAUGAUAUAAUAGAACGUAAUAUAUAGACAUGCAAUAAAGAGUACUGAAAAUAUUCGUAAUAGGGAAUAUGGUGACGAUCCGUUUCAACUUAUGAGCAACCAGUCACCAGAAUUGCCGAAAUAUCUUGUGUAACAACUUUAAAUAAUUCGGUAUAAAUACCUAGCCCCAGUGCUAUUAUCAGGUACAGUGCAGUGAUACUAUUAGAUCAGUGGUACACUAGUACAAUGGUAUUGUGAUGUUACUUGUGGUAUUAUAAAAGGUUCAAGAGUAUAUGAUAUUAAUUAUUGCUCGAUAUUUUACUGAUCUGAAACAAACCAAUCCUCGUCGCGAGGCUCCGGUCUUGAGAAGGAGAUGGAAGUAUCUGAAUCAAUGCAAACAACGCAGUCAGCCGAGAAGCCCUGGGAGAACGUGUCAAGGUGUCAAGUUUUUUCGCAGAAAUGCUUUACCAGGAAUUGCGUUUAAAUAGAGAAAGUGAAACAACCGCGUUUUGAGUUUGUGCUGACAAGUGACAAACGAUAUAAAUUAAGUAGAGCUCAAACUGCCAGAAAAGACAUGAAGGGUUUUUCAAGAAAAGCUUUUGUUCUUCUCGUCUGUGUUUCUCUUCUACUGGAUCAGAAUGUGGCUUGGCAGUAAGUGUUUUUAGGAGAGAGAUUGUGAGAAACCGUUUUGUAAUGGCUUCAUUAAUAAUUCAUGAAUUGACGAGAAAAACACCAAGGAUAUAUUAGUAAUAUUACGAUCGUGUGCCUCAAAUACUGGUCGGAUGAAUCUGGACAUGGUAGUGCACAGACAUACUCCUGUCGAACAUGAUGAUGUUGAUAGGGAUAUUAAAGACACGAAUCAAAAAACAAUUUGUAUACGCACACAAUAGACGAUAGUUAAUAAUAACAUAGAUCGUUCUUACAAGAUGAUAAAUUUGUUACAAAUACGUGGGGGUUUCAGUGUAUGUCUGAUGCAAAAUCCUGCUGAUUUACGUAAACAUUAAGUUCAUUUUUCUAUGUCUUUAAAUUAUUGAAGAAUACGAACGUUUUCACUUUUCCGUUUAAGACAAAUUACAAGAUGCAUACAUAGAGGCGCUUAAACGUAACACGACACCGUGUAAUCUAAAGUAAAGACAGAUUUGCAUAGGCCAUCAAAACAUACCUCAUCAAAGUUGGUCGAGACCAUUUGGAAAACAACGCUCUUACUACCUUUUACUUUCUUGCCAUUCACUUAUUUAGAAUAUAUCACCGUUUAGAAUAUCACCACUCAGAUGUGCCAUGGCUGCUGCUGGUGUCGUCGUUGGGGUUCCAGCUGCCGUAGCAAUGGUUGGCUAUGGCGCAGCUGGUAUUGGAGCUGGCACAUUUGCAGCCAAAA